AAAAAUKUAAAAUUUAAAUUCUAAGUUAUUAAUAGUUAUGAUCUUUAAAAUUAAAAAAUUUGGCGGUAUUUUAGUCUUUUCAGAGGAACCUGUUCUAUAAUUGAUUAUCCACGAUUAAUUAAACUUUUUUUAUUAGCUUGUAUAUCGUCGUUAUAAAAUAUUUUAAGAGAAAUUAAAUAUUUAAGAUUUUUUUAAAAAAUUAAAUCAGAUCAAGAUGCAGUUUAUAGAAAAGUAGAAAUGGGUUACAUUAUAUUUAUAUUUGGAAUAAAUAAUGAAAUAAUUUAAGAAAUUGGAUUUGAAAGUAAUUUUUUUUAAUUUAAAAAAAUGAUUUUAGCUCUAAAAUAUGU
rnacentral:rRNA from 1 species